CGUGUAGGCGGACUCGCAAGUCGGUUGUGAAAUCCCUGGGCUCAACCUAGGAACUGCAUCCGAAACUGCGUGUCUUGAGUAAUGGAGAGGGUGGCGGAAUUCCCGGUGUAGAGGUGAAAUUCGUAGAUAUCGGGAGGGACAUCAGUGGCGAAGGCGGCCACCUGGACAUUUACUGACGCUGAGACGCGAAAGCGUGGGGAGCAAACA
rnacentral:rRNA from 1 species